CAACAACUCAGGAGUGAGAUCUCAAAACAUCCAGACACACAGCGUGAGCGGAAUAUUUACAGGGGAAAUACGUUUUCAAAGCCCCAAAAGCAAAUAACUGGAACUAUAAAUCACAGAAUGAGGCUGAUACAGAUAUUCAUCAACAACAAUGACUUUCAAAUCUAAUUUAAUAUUUUGGAAUAGACAAAAAAAAAUCCAGCAGCCUAUUUACAUUUAUGUAAUUGCUUAAGUAGCAUGCACCAGGGAAACAUAAGUUACCUGUUGUAGUUGGAGGAUCUGGAAUGAUUUGAACGUUUUUCAAAUUAUUACAAAAUGAUUUACAAUAUUAAAUAGCUGUACUGUCCAUGGAAAGGGGCAAGUCACUGGUACAUCAUUCUUUUGGAAUUAUUGGAUGAAUGUAGUCUUGGACAUUCAUGGUUUCCAGAUGAUAAAGUAUUUGGACGUCCGGCAACUUUUCCUCUCGUGCCGCUGACAGGUUGACAUUGUGGAAGGAGUUAAAUGUCUGUGCAUCUUCAUGAAAUCUGUGUGGUAGGUUGGGGAACAGAGGGAAUAUUGUUUCUAAAGAAGUUCCAUGAUCAUGCUUACAAUCUUUUGUUUUCUGCAUAACUAUCAGCCUUCAAACUCAGCAUCACUCAGGAAAGAUUGUUGCCAUGAAUUUGACUCAUUGGAUUAAAAUGGUAAUCUCGCUUUAUUUGUCAUUUUGUCUCUCUUUCUCGCCGUCUGCAGAUGGUUUCCUGUGUGAGGUCAAGCAACCAUAACCAUGAUUAACUGGAAAUAGGAAUAAACAGUCCUCUGAGCCCCUCUCAGUCAUUAUUCCCAAAUAUGACAGAGUGUUAAUAAUGAGAGAAACAAAGAAACUGGAGCCACAAAGUGUGAGCAGAGCAGAGAUAUGACCGGACACUAAUGAAGACGUAUGUUGCCAAUACACCUCACUGUGUGUGUGUUUGUGUGUGGUUAGGAAAAAUGGACUUCAUCGGGAUUUAAAUUGCCUCUAAAGGAGCUUGAUAAAUGUGAGAAGGAAAAAAAAAUUACACUUGUCAGUUACGAUUUAUUCCAAUAGUAAAACGUCUAUCACUCUAUCAUCCAUGUAAUGUCUGUGAAUGUGUCCACCAUUACCACACCCUACUGAUUCAUAAAAUAUCUCCAUCUCUAUCUCCUUGCUAUGUGGUUGUGAGUCUAAAGUGUGUUGGAAUACGUGUUUGUUUCAAGAAGUGAUAUUGUAUUAUUACAAUGCCCACAACAAAAUAUGUCAAAAUGUGCUAAAAACAUUGCUGAAAUCUUAUUUAUCUACGUUUGAGUCGUGCAUCUAUUUGAUGUCAUGUGACGUGUGUCUUCUCCUCCGUUCACACGGGCCAUCUGGAUAAAAACCACUUCAUUACAGACACGCUGAGAGAGCCAGAUUAAGUGGGGAAAAGGGGAUGGAGGAGGAUUUUGAAACGCUUUAGUAGUGACAUUUCUCCAAAGCCACCUGCAAGCUGCAAAUAGGAAAACAUCUGAACAACUUCAGACGGUUCGAGAUGGCUCUCAUGAAGCGUUAAACACAAACAGAGGUGUGUUUCUGCAAACUGUCAAUGGCCCAAUUGCAUUGUGGGUAAUGAAGGUGUUCAAAACUUUCCAUCGUGGUGAAUCUGCUUUCAUGAGGUUCAGCAGGAUCAUUUUCCCAGUUUGCAAAAAAAUGUGAAAGGCCUGCUGUGUGUUUUCAUGGACUUCUAAUGUGUAUUUAACUUCACAAUGAACUGCGUAUAGUCUCCCCGAGGCCUUGAUAUGAUCAGUGCCAUCCUCAAUACACAUGACAACCUUCAACCGGCUUAAUGAUGCUCUUUUUCUCUGCUGGAGUAAAAUGUCAAGUAAUGUUAGACAGUUUUUUGAACUGUCUCAGGUUCCUUCUUUCAACCCAAGGAGACAGAGCCUGAAUGUGGACGACGGUGGAGAGAGAAGAGGAAAGGACAGGAAGAGGAGAACGAAGCUCUGCAGCAGCUGAAUUGAUUUUUUAGGGAGAGACGAGGAGAAGUAGGAAACCACUGCUACGUCCCCUCGAGUCUCCUCAGACACACACACACACACACACACACACACACACACACACACACACACACACACACCUGCACUUACACACUCUGCUGAUUCAGCACAUGACACACACUCACACACACACACUCUUUCAUUUUAACCUUGCUCAAAACCAGAUUCAAAUCAGUGGAGAACAUUGAAAAAAUGUAAUUGUUUGUUUUUUAUUCCCAUCAGCUAAAUUGGCUUACGCUGUUACACUUCAAAAAGCAACACGGAACGGUAAUAAUGAAAAAUACCUGUGUGUGUUUGAGUACAAUUAAUUUCAAUGAUAUUGAUCUGCUCAGAGGAAAAUGCUCUGAGGCUGCUGCCACUGUUUCCUCUGGAGGCCACGACAGCGCUUUGAUUCAUGAUGAGUCAGCAGGAUAUAUAUAUAUAUAUAUUUUUUUUUGUUUUAACUAGGGAUUUCAGUAAAGUAUGAAUGGCUCUUUGGAUCUUUGCUUUGUAGGUUGAAGAUGCAUUUCCGUAAAGUUGAAGUCAAAUGAGGAUGUGAGUCGCGUAUUAUCGCAUGUAGGAGGAACGUUUAAAGUAUUUCCCUGCACACCAGACAGCGGUGAUCAAAGGUUUUUGAAGCCAAACGUUGAAGUGGUGUCAGGCUGGGAGAGUAUAUUAUUAUAUUGUGCAACAACCAAGAGGCUCAAUAAUCCAAAACAACGCUUUUUAUUUUCUCUCAACCUUGAGAUAGACACCACAGACCAGAUCCAGAACUCGCUCCAUUGUACCUGACGAAUUUAAACGGUUUGAAAGUUUUUAACCAACUAAAUGAGCGAGCUUCAUGCUCAUACUAUAAGCAGCUGAGGAAAUCUGCCAGUGACAGUCGUAAUAUCGCACAGAAGCCGUCAGAAAUCAAGGAUAACUAGUUUCAGAAAUCACUAAGAAAUGAUCAUCUGCCACCUUUAUUGUUCACUUCUUGAAAUGUAAGGUGUAAGGAAAGAUGUAGCAACCCUAACAAAGAGAAGGGCCCCUAAACAUUUUCUGAGUACAUGUAUAUUUUCAACACAAUUGGACGUGUAGUUUACUUUAAAUAAUUCACACGGUUACUAAUUAAACUCUGAACAAAGCAGGAAGAAACCACCGGCUAACCUAUUGAUUGCUUUAAUAAUUUAGUUGACAACUCUAAAGGUUAGAACUCUUCUCAUUUGGGUGCUUUAAGUGUCUUUAAAUAAAAGCCACAGCUGCAUCGUCAACUUUUCUUGUAUUGUCUUGUUUUAGACUUCCCAAAAGAUUCAACUGAAUGAAUUAUCAGUUGCGGAAAAUAACCAUGCCUGAGUUUUUCUUUUACUGAGGCUCAGCGGUGUGAAUAUGUGUGAAUAGAAAGUAAUGAAAAACAGCACGUUUGCUCAACCAGCUUAACCCAGACAAAUAAAGGUUAAUGAAAAAAGAGCUCCUAUACUGGAGGUGUAAUUUCUCUUCGGGGCUGCAGAGCGUGUGUAGCGUAGUAAAGACACACCACGCCUGCGUCUUUCUCUGCUUACAGCUCACACAGCCACAGGGAAACCUUGUAAAGUAACUGUAUAAUUAUGCAAAUGCACCUGACUGCGUCUGCUCUCGAAAACAAGGGAUUCUUCAAUGCGACUCAACAGUUGCAGAGAUUUCUUAGUAUAAUGAAAGGAAAUAUGAAUACGGAUCAGAGAACUACUUUUUCUGCCCCAUCAGCUUUUUUCAAAAGCAUUGCAGCACCACAGAUCUACUUUUCCUCUCGUCCCCCUGUAUCGUUGCACACUGGAUCGUCUUUAAAUGCAUGUAAAACUCGUCGAAGAAAAGAGAAAUGCGCAGUAUUUGACUUAUUUUUGUCACUGUUUGUUUAUCUUUUCAAUACACGUUCUGGCCACUGUCAACCCAAAAAUAUUGAAAAAAUUGUAAAACCGGAAUGGAAGAAAUGCAUUUAAGAAACUCAGUAAAUGAAUGUAGUCCCUCCAAACAAAUGUAUGUGCUUGAUGUUUAUUAAUCAACAUCUUUAACAUAAAGUAUGGUAUCCACAAAAGUUGUGUUGUGCACUUAAUACCCCUUGAUGAUAUACAUUGUUUCGUCUCUUUUAUCUUCAUUAUUUUAAUAAGGCUUCUGCUUGCUUUGGAAUUAUGAUUAAUUAACUUUUGCUUGCUGGUUUAAUUGUGUCAUACUUUUAAAGAGCAAAAGAGCUACGAAAAAGAAACAGAAAAACCUUUGUAGUUCAGAUACAUUUUACAGCAGUGGUUCUCAACUGGUCCGGCUCCGGGACCCACCAUCACCUCUUAAUGACAAGCCGCGACCCAAAUCGAGGAACAUUCUCAACUUCUCAAAUUUAUUUAAUGAAAAUAUGGUGCAGUUUGAACCUGGAGAUAGUAUGGAGACAGAAUACGUAUGCCAACACAACAAAGGCCCGCGACCCAUUAAAAACGGGUCCACGACACACUAGUGGGUCGCGACCCAACAGUUGAGAAUCACUGUUUUACAGCAUUUAGUAGUGUGCUACUUGGUAAACAUUUCCUCAAUCGGGAUUUGUAAAAGCAGCACCCACGAGCUGCAGAGGAAAUACAACAUAAGCGGUAGAUUGCAAUAAAUACAUCCAUGUAAAAAAAAAAAAAAAAAAAAAUAGACUAGCAUUAUUUUUUUUAAAGAAUCAGGAGAAUAAUCCUGAACAUCAUAUAGAAAUGACAAAUGAACAAAAUCCUGAUUUAUCCCUUUGACCAAUAUCCAGUGUAAUGAUUUUUCUGCACGUCUCCCCGAGCGAACAUUCUGUUCCUAAGCCAACUUUGAAACUGUAACUCUGGCUUAACAGGCACAAAACAGCUGACCCAAACACACACACACACACACACUCACACACACACACUCACACGGUAUAUUACCGUUCCACCAGGGAACUAAACUGCUUACAGGACACACUGGUCCUUAAUGACCUACGGUGUGUGUGUGUAUGUGUGUGUGGCACGAAUGUGUGGACACAAACAACUUUUGCAUCUGCAUUUCCACAAGUCUCCCAUAGCGUGGGUGAGUGUGUCCUUCGGUGCUCCCGAGCAUGACUUUGUUGCGUGCAGGUUUUGUUCCUCUGACUGCACCCUUGUGUGUGUGUGUGUUUGGAUCAAUAAAACUAUAGCUGUAAUAAGCCACCUAAGCUGCUGUGACAGUAUUCCAGCUGUUCCCUGGAGAACAGAUAUGAGAAACUGUUGUCUAAUUUACCUGAGCAGCACAAACCCCGCCCAACACACACACACACACACACACACACACACACACACACGAAGCAAAACACAAGAAGCACUACUACGGCAAAAGUAUUUAUUAACUAUUUUGAACUAUUUAUUGUUGGAGUGAUGAAUUAUUGUUGCAUCUCUUUGCUCACGCUGCGGCGCUACACUGCUCGCAAACUGUGGUUAAGUUUAACAAAUGAUGGUGAAUAUCAUACUGUAUUUUUGCAUCAAGGACAGAAAUUUCUCAAAAAAGUAUUAAUCAGUUAACAAUAGUUUUAAAGUGACUUGCAUGAGAAGCGGAAUCAAAGAUCAACAUAUAAUCAAUUUGAUGUACUUUUUACUGAACCUGCAAGGUCUGCCAUCUCUUACUGUAGAUCUUCUACCGGCACCGCUAAUGUGAGCGUGUGUGUGUGUGUGUGUGUGUAAGGUUUUGUUGUGCACUUCAGGGAGAAACCUUUUCAUUAUUGAAUCUUUAAAAAUGUUUUCUAUUGAAAUGGAUGUUUUGGGUCAGCUUCUUCGUCAACAGGGGCUAAUGGUCAUCUUCCCGUUGUCGCCCACAGUAUCUGUGACUCUCAUCGGUCAUUAUUAAUAACAUGAAAGCCAUUAGCCUGUAGACGAGAUCACAGCACUACUAACUGUUGUGCUUGUCAGAGGUUACUGUAACAAAUAGGAUCUUGUUUUUCAGUGGUCAGCCGACAACCGCUCUAAUCAAUUACAUGCUCAAAUUCCAGCAACUAUUUAUCUAGUUAUUAGACUAAAUACACGUUAUUAAUCUGCUAUUACUGAGUUUAAUCAUAUCACACAACGUGGAAAGAAAAGGUGAAAGUUCAAGUUAUUUCACAAAGUGUAACUGUCCACUAGAUUGAAUCCAGUACAGUGUUACUUCCUGUUUACACAAACUUACAUACACACACACACAGAAAUUGUAUCAGUCUAUCCACCUAUUUCUUAAAACGUUACCUCGCGCCAUGGACAUGAACAUUGACAUUCUCACUGCAAGAUAGAGAUGCAAAUCACAUCUCAUCUCUCCCUUUAAAUAUAUAUAUAAAUAAAGGGAUAUGUGUUCAUGAUGGGAUUGGGAGGCAGAAGCAGACCAAUUAGGAAAUAAUGAUGGGGUGUUGGAAAGAGAGUAAGGGAUGCAUGAAAAACAGCUCUGAGAUGAACAGAUACCUGCGAGAUGAAAACAAUCACACCGGCAUCCACGCGUGAAAGAAUAUGAUAACAACCGAGUCAAAAAAUGAACUCGCAUACAGCUCCCUGGACAGGAGAACUGAAUGAUGCAAGUACGGGAAAAGAACAGCUCGGGGUAUCUGAUGGUCUGUCCACUCCCUCCUCUGUGUUUAUUGUUGUCUUCCACCCCAGGCUAAUCUUAGUCACGGCUGUCUGUGUGUGUGCGAAGGAGAACCAGCCAAGACUGAUACAGUGGUGUAUUAAAGGAAAACCAGUAAGCUUCUAGUUUGCCUCUGUCUGUCUAUAUAUAUACACACAUAUGGCAUUGGUCUCUCCCUGCUUUUAUCUCUUAUAGAAUAUACAUGACACCAUCAUUACUGGAGUGGAAGAGAAGAAGAGAACGGAAUAUUAAUCAUCAUUGGAUGACUCAUAAUGUGUGUUAUGAGCUCAUGUCCUAGAGCAUCUGUGUGUGUGUAUACAUGUGUAUAUGUUUGUUCAUAAAACAAUGCUGUGUGUGGUCAUGCAUUUAUAUGUUUGGGUAUAUUAUGUGCAUCCAUGUUUCUUUACAUGCAUCUCUGUACUUUUAUUUUUAAAUUUUCCUCAAGGUGCUAUAUAAAUAUGAUCAAUUCAAUUACUGUUAAAAGAUUGGAUGUUGGGAUUGAAUUGCUUCCGUGUGUCCAUCUUCUGUCGCUCUGCCUUGUUAUUUACGUUAAACAACAUUCUCAUGGUGCUAAAAGGCGACAUUAUUGAACUUGGCACAAACAUGACCCAUUGCUACAGACACUUUAGAUCUAGCGAGAAAAACAACGGGAGGUGAUCAUGAAGAAACUGUGACCACAUACGAGGUGGCACUUUAAUUGUUGAAGUGUUUAUUUUUAUGAACUGAAACGGCUUCAUGUGUCAAAGUCAUUCAGUCCUUCAGUUAAAGUGCUGCUGCAUUUUGCUGUGUCGUGCUUCUCCGCUCGCCUCACAAAGAACACAACUCAAACCAGCCUGAAUGCUACAGCAACAUGUUUAUGACUUCAGUUCUCGGUUAUCUCGGAGUUAUCAAGCAUUCAGAGGGAUGCUUCUUGUCACAAGCUCAAACUAAAUGUGUAAUGCGUAAUACAUGAUCACAAUUUUCUACAUGCUCGGCUGCCUAGAGCAAAUAGUGCCCCAAAAAAUUCUAUUACUCCUACUCCAACCACACAACUUCAUCCAUAUCACAGAACUGAUAACGGUUUAUCAGUUGCGUAUUGUGUGUCAAAUUAAGGGAAUACCUCAAAAACACGAAAAUAAUUAAGUGGUAUGUAUAUUUUUGGUAUUUGUGCAGCAUAUAUUUUAAACAGCUGUAGCUUGUGUUGCAUAGUCAUGUGUGUGUUGAUUGAUUUGAUUAUUCUGUGCACACACACACACACACUGUGGUGGUGUGUGUUCGGUGCAGAGCACAGGAGACUGUUGCUGUUAAAAAAUGCACAUCCUGCUCUGUUGCACAAGCUGCUGCUGCAUGGCAGACAAAGUGGGUCAGCACCCUCACACACACACACACACACACACACACACACACACACACACACACACACACACACGCACGCACAUAAACACACGCGCACACUGGGGACAUUGGCAGAGUUGCAUUCGUAUGUUUUCCCUUAGCGUCUCUCUCGGUCUUUCUUUGACUAUCUUGUUCAGGCACACUUUGAAACGCCCCAAUAAGAGCUUUCCUCUUGCGUUUGGCAAUAUUCUCUCCAGCUGUUCCAGUACAGAACACAUGGGGAAGAAGAGUAAAUGAGAGGGGAGCAGACCCAGUAUUGUGCUGCAAAGAAACAAUGGUAGAGAUGAAAAGGAGAAGAAGAAUAAAGAUGAAAUGAAAAGAAAAAAAAAAGACUUAACUCAAUGAGAGGAGAGGAAAAGAAGGGAAGGUUAAGGGAAGGAAAGGAGGAGGGGCGCAAAGAGGUGAUGAAACAAAAAGAGAGGCGAUCCGUGGAGGGAGAAAAGAAUAGGAAAGGAAAGGACAAAUGAGAAAUUCACAGAAGAGGACGGAAGAAAGGAAAGGAAAUUUGAGGGAGAGGGAAGGAAAGGAGAAGAGAGGAAAGGAGAAAAAUUGAAAUGAAAGGAAAUGGAAAAAGAAUAGAGAGAAGGAUGUAGAAAAAAAAAAGACAGGAGGAUAAGAGAAUAACAACAGAGGGAUAAACCGAGACAAAUAAAAAAGAUUCUAGUUCAACAAUCUUCUUUUUGUUCAAAGGGAACACUGAUUAUUUUCCAAAUGAGCCUCUUGAUUAACUUACCGUUGUGUAACAAAAGGGCUGAUGGCAGUUUCAGUUCUGCGUGUCCAGUAGUUAAUUAGAUCACAAAGACGCCUGCUAAAGUUUUAGCACCCUGAGACUGUUUGUUGGACCAUAAAAACUAGUGUUGCAUCAUGUCAGAAAAACUAAGCAAACACACACAGACUUGUGUGGGGAUCAAAGGGUGUGAGUCGGGGAAAAGUCACUUUCUGUCUCUGAGGAGAAAGAAUAACAACCAGUGCAUCAACCCCCCUCACGAAAAAACACAACUGGGGGAAUGUGGAGGGGCAGGUGUGAUGACACUACAUGCACGCACACUGACAAACACGCUGCACAAAACGUGUCUCACACUCACACAUGUACACACACACACACACACACACACACACACACACACACACACACACACACAGACAGCAUGAACUAGAAGUCCUUCCUGAGACACCUGUUAUGAAACCAGAUUGUUGUUUGCUAUCGAUGACAAAAUGAAUGCGCACAGGUGUUUCCACACCUAGUGGGGGACACACACACAUAGAGACACACACGCACAACCUAUUAUGUCCCAAUAUUUCUUGGCAGCACCAUUUAGUUCUCAAUAGUAAAAGCCAGUAAAACUAUAAUAAUGAAAGUCUGUCUUUCCUCAUUUAGAACAAGUGAAGUUUUCUACUGAAAACAGCACUGAUGAAAUGCUUUGAAACCCUUUGAUGUUUUAUAACGCUUGUAUUGAGUGUGUGAUAUACAGCAUCUAUCCACUGAUCCCAUGAAGCUCCUCGGGCUGCACACAACGAGUCACACACAUUGUUGCGCGGUACAGUUAUUUAUUAUGGAGACAGUGACACAAUUUUCAAGUACAGGUCACUUUGCACUUUGAGACCUUUGUAGUCCUGCAGGAAGUCUUCCAUCACGUACAAAAAUGCUUUUUUCCCCCAUGUGUGUAAAUUAAUAUGGUCUUUUGUGUCCAAAUCUUACUUUCAUGUCCUUCAAGUAAAUUAAAACUAGCAAAAGAUAUAAUCACAAGUCAAAGCAAAGCAGCAAACAAUAGUGAUGCUCCACUUCUUUGUGAAGCUCAGAACUUUAUUUUACCGGUUACAAAGCUAAUCAGCUGCUUAACAAAGCAUGUCAACAUACCUGAGAAGGACGCUUCGGUCUGUUUAGAUGCUUGUGUUGUUUACUCACCUUGUAUCUUGUUCCUGAAACCGCCCUGAUUGCAGGUUUUGGUCAAUCCAAGUCAGAGGUUUAUCCAACUUAUGCAGACUAACUCUCUGAUAUUCUCGAUAUAUCCAAGAACUUCUUUUCCGUUUCGAGUGUCAUUGGGGAGCUUUUACUACCCGGCCCGUGUUGCCGGGCCAACUGGAGGAGAGGAAGGCAGAGAGGACCAGCACGUAUGAGCGGGGAAGAUUGGCAGACUCGACUACAGUAAAAUGAGAGGUCUUCUAAGUGGACUGAAACUCCAACGGGAGCGUGAACACUGAACCAGAGUUUGACAUGGUGGCCUUAAAUAAUACAUUUUGAAAAAGGGCCUGAAUAUAACUGAAAUAAACAUGUUUGUGUUGUGUUUUGACUUUGCAAGGACGUUUUGUAUAUUUGCCCUACAAGCUUACAAGCCUAGAGAAUGCACAACAACCAACAUAUUUCAAAUUAAGUCCACCAAUUUUUCUUGGACAGAGCAUCCAGCGUCACUGGUGAAAUAUCUGUCUGUGUUAUCCAAACUUUGUAAACCUGGUAACAAUCCCUCUCAAAAUGUGUGUUAAUUAUUAUCAGCCCCAGCAGGCCUUUGAAGACACAGACAGCGUGUUUGAGUCUGAGAGGAAAGACUUGAUCACUGCUGUAAAUCAAAAAAAAUGUCAUUUUCACCAUCUUUCAUUCCCUUCAUGUCUGCGGAGACGAUGUGACAUCCUGUCUGAGGAGGGACAGAGAGAGAGAGACUGACAUUCCCAAUUAAAAACCUCCAGUCCUCUAUUUCUUUCUUCCUUUACGUUAUUUUAUAGCCUCUACAACUCAAAUGUAUUAAUUCAAUCACUUCUUCACACAUACUCGCUUAUACGCUUAUUUUCCUUUGUCAUAUUUUGUACUCUCCGUUUGUCCUUACGCUCUCUCUACAUUUUCCCGUGUUACUCUUCAACCCUCGUCACCGGGCCUCUAUCAUCUGAUCAGUAGAAUUAAUGGCUUUAUUUCCAUCGUAUCACCAUGGUGAUGAAUCAUGUUGUUAAUCAUCAUAUCGCUGAGGUGACGGAUCAUGUCAUUAAUCAGGAUUUAUUUUCUAGGCUAUAGCAGCAUGUUAAAAGAAAGCAAACCCACACAAUGGUGAUUAGCAAUUAACACAACCUCAUACACACACACACACACACACACACACACCCCGGCGGCCUCCCGCAGAGUUGGAGCAUCGCCAGGCAGAAGAGUGACUUCAUUCCUGUUGGCUUAAUCAAACUGUCACUAGUUAGAUAAGAGCAGAUGCACAGAAGUCCAUGCUUCUCACACACACACACACACACACACACACACACACACACUCACACACAUACAC
ensembl:lncRNA